UCUACGGGUGGCUGCAGUGGGGGAUAUUGCACAAUGGGGGAAACCCUGAUGCAGCGACGCCGCGUGAGUGAAGAAGUAUUUCGGUAUGUAAAGCUCUAUCAGCAGGGAAGAAAAUGACAGUACCUGACCAAGAAGCCCCGGCUAUAUACGUGCCAGCAGCCGCCGUAAUACGUAGGGGGCAAGCGUUAUCAGGCUUUACUGGGUGUAAAGGGAGCGUAGACGGGUAUGUAAGUCUGGGGUUAAAGCCCCGGGGCCAACCCCGGGACUGGCUUGGAAACUGUGUAAUAGGAUUACAGGCGGGGCAGGAGGAAUUCCUGGUGUAGCGGUGAAAUGCGUAAAUAUCAGGAGGAACACCGGCGGCGAAGGCGGCCUGCUGGACUGAAACUGACGUUGAGGCUCGAAAGCGUGGGGAGCAAACAGGAUUAGAUACCCCAGUAGUC
rnacentral:rRNA from 1 species